GUUUGAUCCUGGCUCAGAUUGAACGCUGGCGGAAUGCUUUACACAUGCAAGUCGAGCGGCAGCGCGGGGCAACCUGGCGGCGAGCGGCGAACGGGUGAGUAAUACAUCGGAACGUACCCAGUUGUGGGGGAUAGCCCGGCGAAAGCCGGAUUAAUACCGCAUACGACCUGAGGGUGAAAGGGGGGAUCGCAAGACCUCUCGCAGUUGGAGCGGCCGAUGGCGGAUUAGCUAGUUGGUGAGGUAAAGGCUCACCAAGGCGACGAUCCGUAGCUGGUCUGAGAGGACGACCAGCCACACUGGAACUGAGACACGGUCCAGACUCCUACGGGAGGCAGCAGUGGGGAAUUUUGGACAAUGGGGGCAACCCUGAUCCAGCCAUUCCGCGUGAGUGAAGAAGGCCUCGGUUGUAAGACUCUUCGGUCGAGGAACGGAAAACGGUAGGGUCCGUAAUACGAUCUGCUAAUGACGGUACC
rnacentral:rRNA from 1 species